rnacentral:hammerhead_ribozyme from 1 species
AUCCAGCUGACGAAACUCACAUAGGACGAAACGUACGUCCUAGAU